AUUGAACGCUGGCGGCAUGCCUUACACAUGCAAGUCGAACGGUAACAGGUCUUCGGAUGCUGACGAGUGGCGAACGGGUGAGUAAUACAUCGGAACGUGCCUAGUAGUGGGGGAUAACUACUCGAAAGAGUGGCUAAUACCGCAUGAGAUCUACGGAUGAAAGCAGGGGGUCGCAAGACCUUGCGCUACUAGAGCGGCCGAGGGCAGAUUAGGUAGUUGGUGGGAUAAAAGCUUACCAAGCCGACGAUCUGUAGCUGGUCUGAGAGGACGAUCAGCCACACUGGGACUGAGACACGGCCCAGACUCCUACGGGAGGCAGCAGUGGGGAAUUUUGGACAAUGGGCGAAAGCCUGAUCCAGCAAUGCCGCGUGCAGGAUGAAGGCCUUCGGGUUGUAAACUGCUUUUGUACGGAACGAAAAGCCCUGGGUUAAUACCCUGGGGUCAUGACGGUACCGUAAGAAUAAGCACCGGCUAACUACGUGCCAGCCGCCGCGGUAA
rnacentral:rRNA from 1 species